UGGUUAUGAGGAUAACAUAUCAAAUCAAUGAUCAAAAUGGUGAUUGUAUAUUAUACGCUAUUCUGAACCACGU
rnacentral:snoRNA from 1 species